CUUACACAAUCACACACACAGGAGGGAGAGAGAUGAGGAGAGCCACUGGGAAAGCGGAAACAGAGAGGAAGACACUGAGGACUGAGGAAAGAAUCGUGACAGUCCUUUAAAAUGAACUUGGAUGGGUGGGAAAUCAGAGAGGAAGAACACAUUCUUUUGUGGUGCUGGCCAUGCUACAUUACAUUACAGCAGAGGGUUGGUGUGGGUCUCUUCUACAGCACCGUGAUUGGAGUAUUUCUGUCUUUCAAUUCCCAAUGAGCCAUGAAAGCAAGCAACCUGACAUGCCUCACCAACAAGGCCCACAGACACCUCCAUCCUCAUGUACUCUUUUCCAAGGACUUUUUGCUUUGAUGUACGAAGACCUGGCAUUGUUAACAUCGGGAAGGUGUGCCUAGCAUGCAAAUACAGGAAAUGUUUAUUAUUUGUACAGGAAAAGCACAGCAUUUCUCAGGAUUUUUUUUCUCCUUGCUGCCUGUGCUGAAGGUUAGUUUCUGAAUCUGGCCGUGUUCUGGAUGUGUUUAUGUUUAUAUUUCCCACAAAAAGAAACAGUGUUUACCACAGAAUGUGUGCUCCAUUAUAAUAUUUAACAUAUGCAUGCUGCCUUAUAAAUGUUACUUAGAGGCUGUUGUCUUGGCAAAAUAUUGUCUGGAGGAAUACUGGCAAUCUAUUAAUAUAUUAAUUAAAUAAUAUUCUGUUUCAUUAGAUGCCAGCCUGUCAUACCUUCUUGCUUGUUUGAUACAGAUUAAUUAUGAUUAGCAUCCUUUGCCAUUUAAAUGUAUUUGAUUAAGACUGACUGGAAUCUAGUAGUUUAAAUUCUCUAAUUGGAAAUAGGGACAAAUAAUAACAGUUUCAUCUCACACAAUCUAUGUAUCUUUAUUUUUUACUUUUUUAGAACUAACACACAUAAACACAUACUUUAGUCAACAAAUCUGACACUUCUCACUGCUAAUUUAUUGUAGAUAUGCUGAAAGGGCA